CUUUUCCCCCCCCCCAUCCCCGCUAUGCGGGGGGGGGGUCCCCAAAUCUGAGGGGUCCCCAAUAGCAGUGGGGGGGGGGGGGGGCCCGAAUAUCAGUGGGGGUCCCCAAUAAUCCGGGGGGGGGUCCCCAAAACUGGGGGGGGGUCCACAAUGACGGUGGGGGUCCCCAAAAUUGGGGGGGGGGCUGAAUAAACCUUUGGGGGGUCCUCAAUUGUUAUGGGGGGGGGGGGAAUAGCAGAAGGGGGUCCCCAAGAUUGAGGGGUCCCCAAUAAUCCGGGGGGGUCCCCAAAUGGGGGGGGGUCCCUAAAUGAGGGGGGGUCCCUAAAUGAGGGGGGGACCCCAAAUCUGGGGGGGCCCCCCUAUACCAGAGGGGGCCCUCAGUUGUUCUGGGGGGGUCCCCAAUAAUGUGGGGGGGGGUCCCCAAAUUAGGGGGUCCCCAAUAUCUGUGGGGGUCCCCAAUAAUAUGGAGGGGGGGCACCAAAAUGAGGGGGGGCCCCGAAAGCAGAGGGGGCCCUCAAUUCUAUUGAGGGGGUCCCCAAUAAUCGGGGGGGGGUCCUCAAUAGUUAUGGGGGGGGCCCCGAAUCUGAGGGAUCCCCAAUAUCUGUGGGGAUCCCUAAUGAGGGGGGGGGGGGGGUCUCUAAUAAGGGGGGGGGGGUCCCCAAAUUUGAGGGGUCCCCAAUAAUCUGGGAGGGGUCCCCAAAUCCGGGGGGGGUCCCCAAUACCAGAGGGGGCCCUCAGUUGUUCCGGGGGGGUCCCCAAUAAUAUUGUGGGGGGGGUCCCCAAAUUGGGGGGUCCCCAAUAUCUGUGGGUGUCCCCAAUAAUAUGGGGGGGGGGGCACCAAAAUGUGGGGGGGCCCCAAAAGCAGAGGGGGCCCUCAAUUAUAUUGAGGGGGUCCCCAAUAAUCGGGGGGGGGGUCCUCAAUAGUUAUGGGGGGGCCCCGAAUCUGAGGGGUCCCCAAUAUCUGUGGGGGGUCCC
ensembl:lncRNA